GUGCUCACUUCGGCAGCACAUGUACUAAAAUUGGAACGAUACAGAGGUUAGCAUGGCCCCUGAGCAAGGGUGACACGCAGGUGAAUGUAGGGCUGAAAGUUAGG